GAUGAAGAACGCAGCGAAAUGCGAUAAGUAGUGUGAAUUGCAGAAUUCAGUGAAUCAUCGAAUCUUUGAACGCACAUUGCGCCCUUUGGUAUUCCUUAGGGCAUGCCUGUUCGAGCGUCAUUUAAACCUUCAAGCUCAGCUUGGUGUUGGGUGACUGUCCGCUUCACCGCGGACUCGCCUCAAAAUUAUUGGCGGCCGGUACAUUGGCCUCGAGCGCAGCAGAAACGCGAACUCGGGCCCGUCGUAUUGGCUCCCAGAAGCUAUCUUCACAAUUUUGACCUCGGAUCAGGUAGGGAUACCCGCUGAACUUAAGCAUAUCAUAAGCGGAGGA
rnacentral:misc_RNA from 1 species